rnacentral:rRNA from 1 species
AAGCGCGAUAAGGGGACCCCUUAGUGCCAGUACCUAGUACUGGCUGUCCCGCUGUCUAAAUAACAGUGGUUAGCAAGGGCCGGGCAAGACCGGUGCCAGCCGCCGCGGUAACACCGGCGGCCCGAGUGGUAGCCGUUAUUAUUGGGUUUAAAGGGUCCGUAGCCGGCUUAUUAAGUCUCUUGGGAAAUCUGGCGACUUAAUCGUCAGGCGUCCAAGAGAUACUGAUAGGCUUGGGACCGGGAGAGGUGGGAGGUACUCCAGGGGUAGGGGUGAAAUCUCGUAAUCCUUGGGGGACCACCGAUGGCGAAGGCAUCCCACCAGAACGGGUCCGACGGUGAGGGACGAAAGCUGGGGGCACGAACCGGAUUAGAUACCCGGGUAGUCCCAGCUGUAAACGAUGCUCGCUAGGUGUCAGAUGCGGUGCGACCGCAUCUGGUGCCGCAGUGAAAACUUGAAGCGAGUCACCUGGGAAGUACGGUCGCAAGGCUGAAACUUAAAGGAAUUGGCG